rnacentral:tRNA from 1 species
GGAAUUGUGCCUGAAUUAAUAGGGUCACUUUGAUAGAGUGAAUCAUGAAGGUUAAAAUCCUCCCAACUCCU